CCCGUGCCUGCCUGCAUGGCUAAUACUUGGGCAAAUAAAUAACUAAGAGAAUUAAGAGAAGGUCUGGUGCCCCUAUCGCAGCACGUCUGAGACGGGUUUGAGUCCUGAAGGAGCUGAGUGACCUCUUCCUACAGAGAAAGUAUGGGCGGGCCCCCUCUGAAGUCUCACCUUCUGUGCAGUACUGGACAUCUGGCCGUGGGCUGAUGUGACUGAGAUCUGCAGGCAAGCCUACAGAAAGAAUCAGUGAGCAUCAUAUCCAGCCUGUCUUCCUGUAGUGAUCUGCUUUCUGCAUGAGGACAGGAAGAGUUACGUAUGUGGCAGCGCAUUGGCAUUCUGCAAAGAUGCAUUGAGAUUGAUACUGGACACUGAGGGACAGAGGGAUGAGAGGAUCUGCCUUCCCUGGAGACCGCAGGCCUGCAGCCUUUGUAUUCCCACUGCUGCCAAAUGCCUGCCCUACUCAAAAGAAUAGAGAAUUAAGCACAAAUUUCCUGGUCUCUAAGUUUCCUUGUAUAGCAGACUAUUCGUCAAAUCCUGAUCAGAAGGUGAGGUUUUAGGAAAAUGAGUUCUUUUCAUGAUGAAAAAUCUUGCGGCUUCUUCCCCAUAACAGCCUGUUGUUAUGACUGGGGACAGAAGGAUGGGUUAAUCGUGGCCCCAUUUCCUGCAGUCUCCUGCAGUCAUGAUUUGUGAAUGCCUGAGAAUACCCCUGCUGAAUUCUAAUUGUUUGUGACAGUCGGCACAUGAUUUCAAGUGUUUGGUCACAGCAGUGUUCGUUUUCUGCUCUUUUAAUCUUUGAUGGAUGUUGCGCCUGGCUUCACUGAUGUGGUUCACGACACAGUAGGCAGUGAUUUCCUAUAAGAUGUUUUGUCUCAACUACAGAGGUGCGGAGUUCCUAUACGAUGGCCAGUAUUUAUUAAUGAUGUCCCAAGGUUUCUAAAGAGAAAGCUCUGCCGUAGACCAUUAGAACCUAAUCUACUCCAAAAUGUCAGAUGCAGUUAAGCAAGAGUUAUCUAGACUGCACUGAGACUUUCCUCAUUAGUUCAGACUCUGAUUAGGAGACUGAUUAAAGGCUUUCUUUCUGUAAAGGUUCACUCUUUAUCUUUGCAGAUUUCGUUACUAUGUAAGACGUGAUAGAGCUAGCUUAAGGCUCACGCAAAUAGUAAAACUAAAAAGCAUUUGUGCGUAUGCAUCUGCACAGUGAUUCAAGCCCUUGCAGCACGCAUGCAUGCUUUUUAAAAUGCCCUUAACUAGUAACAAGAAAAAUGUUCAUUUUGAGACAUGAAUAGGGUUGUUCAUCUUUCAGGCUGUUCAGAUGGUGUUAAUAGAAUGCAAUUGUAUACAAGGUCAGAUUUUCAUAUCAUAUGUAAAACUGUAGGAUUAAGAUUUUAACAGCAAUUUGAGGUUGCUGGGAUACAAAGUAUUUUGUUCAGAAUACUCUGAAUCUGAAUUCAUUACAACUAACCAUAUUGCUUCCUGUGAUUUAACCGUUGCUCUCUGUUCACGCUAAGCUAUGUAAUUGUGACAGUGCUGAAAUAUUUAAGGCUCCUCCUAAUAUUUUACCCACGAACAGCAUUAAGCUUUGGCAUAUGCCUUUAAAUUUCUCAUCUCAGUGAAGAUGGUAAUUUAAUGUAUAAGCUCUUAGAAGAAAGGAUUGUCAAUUUGUUAUGCAUUUUAUAGUGUUUAGCACAAGAGGGGUGAGGUAUCUGGAUAUUUCUGGAACCUGGAAAAUAAGUUAACAUUAUCAAGAAAUAAAAACAUCCCUGAGGCAAAUGCCAGAACUUCCAAAUGGUUUUGCAAGAUACAGUUCCAAAGAAUUGGAAUUUU
ensembl:lncRNA